rnacentral:rRNA from 1 species
GAUGAACGCUGGCGGCGUGCCUAAUACAUGCAAGUCGAGCGAACAGACGAGGAGCUUGCUCCUCUGACGUUAGCGGCGGACGGGUGAGUAACACGUGGAUAACCUACCUAUAAGACUGGGAUAACUUCGGGAAACCGGAGCUAAUACCGGAUAAUAUAUUGAACCGCAUGGUUCAAUAGUGAAAGACGGUUUUGCUGUCACUUAUAGAUGGAUCCGCGCCGCAUUAGCUAGUUGGUAAGGUAACGGCUUACCAAGGCAACGAUGCGUAGCCGACCUGAGAGGGGGACCGGCCAAACGGGACGGGAGACCGGGCCAGGACGCCAAGGGGGGGAAGAAGGAGGAAACCUGCGGCAAGGGGGGAAAGCUGGAGGGAGCACGGCGGGGGGGGGAAUAAAGUUCUUGGGAUCGAAAAACUUGUUUAUGAGGGAAAAAAAAAUGUGAAAGAAACUAGGCAGGUCUGGAGGGUACAUAAUAAGAAAGCCCGGGCUAACUAGGUG